rnacentral:rRNA from 1 species
UCGACUGUUUAUCAAAAACAUAGCCAUAAGUAGAUAUUUAUGGUAGUAUCUGCCCAGUGAAAAUUUUUAAACGGCCGCAGUACCUUGACUGUGCAAAGGUAGCAUAAUCACUUGACUUUUAAAUGGAGCCUAGUAUGAAAGAGAGAACGUAGACAAUUUGUCUUAAUAAUAGUAUUUUGAAAUUGCUGUAGGAGUGAAAAUACUCCUAAAAUUUAAAAAUAGACGAGAAGACCCUUAGAAUUUUAAACAUAUUGCAGAAGUACUACUGUAAUUAUUUUUUGUUGGGGCAACAAUAUUUCAAAACGAAUAAAUAUACAAAAAAGUCAAAAUAGGUCGAUUAUAUAAUUAUAGUAAAAUUACGUAAGGGAUA